rnacentral:misc_RNA from 1 species
GGCCUGAUAAGGCGUUUACGCCGCAUCAGGCCGCCAGCACCGAUUGCCGGAUGCGACGUAACCACAUCCGGCG